CAUGCAAGUCGAGCGGUAACAGGAGGAGCUUGCUCCUCGCUGACGAGCGGCGGACGGCUGAGUAACGCGUAGGAACGUACCCCAAAGUGAGGGAUAAGCACCAGAAAUGGUGUCUAAUACCGCAUGUGAUCUAAGGAUUAAAGCUUCGGCGCUUUGGGAACGGCCUGCGUAUGAUUAGCUUGCUGGUGAGGUAAUAGCUCACCAAGGCGACGAUCAUUAGCUGGUCUGAGAGGAUGAUCAGCCAGACUGGGACUGAGACACGGCCCAGACUCCUACGGGAGGCAGCAGUAGGGAAUUUUCCACAAUGGGCGAAAGCCUGAUGGAGCAACGCCGCGUGCAGGAUGAAGGCCUUCGGGUCGUAAACUGCUUUUAUAUGUGACGAUUAUGACGGUAGCAUAUGAAUAAGGAUCGGCUAACUCCGUGCCAGCAGCCGCGGUCAUACGGAGGAUCCAAGCGUUAUCCGGAAUUACUGGGCGUAAAGAGUUGCGUAGGUGGCAUAGUAAGCGAGUAGUGAAAUCGUGUGGCUCAACCAUACAUCCAUUACUUGAACUGCUAAGCUUGAAGACGAGAGAGGUAGAUGGAAUUCCCAGUGUAGGAGUGAAAUCCGUAGAUAUUGGGAGGAACACCGAUGGCGUAGGCAGUCUACUGGCUCGUUCUUGACACUAAGGCACGAAAGCGUGGGGAGCAAACGGGAUUAGAUACCCCGGUAGUCCACGCCGUAAACUAUGGAUGCUAGCUGUUAUAGGUAUCGACCCCUGUAGUAGCGAAGCUAACGCGUUAAGCAUCCCGCCUGUGGAGUACGGUCGCAAGACUAAAACAUAAAGGAAUUGAC
rnacentral:rRNA from 1 species